rnacentral:rRNA from 1 species
GACAGAGGGUGCAAACGUUGUUCGGAAUUACUGGGCGUAAAGCGCGUGUAGGCGGCUUCGCAAGUCGGGUGUGAAAUCCCACGGCUCAACCGUGGAAGUGCAUUCGAAACUGCAAGGCUAGAGUCCUGGAGAGGAAGGUGGAAUGCUUGGUGUAGAGGUGAAAUUCGUAGAUAUCAAGCGGAACACCGGUGGCGAAGGCGGCCACCUGGACGGUAACUGACGCUGAGACGCGAAAGCGUGGGGAGCAAACAGG